rnacentral:lncRNA from 1 species
CAAAAACUGCAAAGAGCCCAUUGUCCAUGAGUUGUUCACCUAACAAGUGAAAGGUUAAACAAACUGGCAUAUUCACAAUGGAAUACUAGUCAGCAAUGAAAAGGAACAAAGAGCUGAAACACAUCAAUGAAUCUCAAAACGUGCUGAAUGAAAGAAAUUUACACAAGAGUACAUACUGUAUGAUUCCAUUUAUAUAAAGUUCUAGAAUAGGCCAAACUAAUCUGGUGAAAACAAAAUUCUAACAGGGAAAAGGGAUGGGAGAGCUGCAAGAAUUGACUGGUUAAAAAAAAUUUCUGAUGGACGUGAUGGAAAUGUUCCAUAGCUUGUUAGGGGUUUGGGUUACAUAGCUGCACGUCAAAACUUAUCAAAUGGUACACUUAACGUUUGUUCACUCUAAGUUCUACCUCAAGAAAAAAACUCCAACAAUAUGUAUGCCAAAAGGCUUAAGAGUCAAGUAUAGAUGUUCUACAACUUUGACACCCAUAAAGAGAGAGACUGAUGGAUGCAUAGAUCCAUGAUAAAGAAAAUAUGGCAAAAUGUUACUUGUAGAAUCUAGGUGGUAGGUAUAGAUAGGCAUGUUUAUAGUUCAACUUUUCUGUAUGCUUGAAGUUUCUUAUUAAAAAAUUCUGCAGGGCAGGGCCAGCCCAGUAGCAUAGUGGUUAAGUUCACAUGCUCACUUUAGCAGCCUGGGAUUCACAGGUUCAGAUCUCAGGUAUGGACCUACACAGGGCUCAUGAGGCCAUGCUGUGGCAGCGUCCCACAUACAAAAUAGAGGAAGACUGGCACAGAGCCUAGCUCAAUGACAGUCUUCCUCAAGCAAAGAGGAACACUGGCAGCAGAUAUUAGCUUAGAGCCAAUCUUCCUCACCAAAAAAAAAAAAAAAAAAAAGGUUGCAGGGCAAAAAGAGGCAUAGUAACCAAUUGCAAAGUGUUGAUGUUGUUUAGAUCCUGAUUCAUAUAAACUUUUUUUAAAUGACUUUUCAGACAGAUCUUUGGUGCUAAGAAAUUAGUAUUUUUAGGAGUGAUGGUAUUUUUUUAAAUACCUUUUUAACAAAAGAUGUAUACUGAAAUCUAUACAGAUAAAAUGAUGCUAUGUCUUGGAUUUGCUUUAAAAUUAAUAUGAGGGUUAAGUAGAUACGGAUUAUAAGAAAAAAAGAAAACUGGGGAGAGGACAUGAAGACAAUUCACUGAAAAGAAAAUCCAAAAGCUCUUAAAUGUGAAGAAGUGCUACCUCAUAAAGGAAUACCAUUGUGAUGGCGUUUUCUUAACCUAUAAGAUUGGCAAAGAAUAGAAUGCUAAUAUACCGUGUUAGUGAGGCUAUGGGGAAAUGGGCACUUGUACUACCGGAGCAAAUAAGAAAAAGCCAUUUACAUAUAUAAAUUUAAUUUUAGAUAUAAAUUAUAAGUGCACAUACUCUGACCAUUUACCCUACAUAAAAAUUUCUGUAUGUACAAAAUGGCAUAAAAUUAUACAAGGUAAUUCAUUUCAGCAUUAUAAUAGGGAAAGAAUGGAAACAAUUUACAUGUUCAUCAGUAAGGGACAGGAUGAAUGAAUUAUGUAUAUUCAUAUACUCUACAAUCAUUCCAAAAAAUGAAAAAGGGUUUUAUAUACUGAUAUAAAAUGAUCUUUAGGAUGCAAUAAGUGGGGAAAAAGGUACAGAAGAGUAUGUAUGGUAUGCUGUAAUUUAUAUUUUGAAAAGAAAUGAAAAUGUCUAUUAAUAUUUGCUUAUCUAUACAGUAAAUAUCACUAGAAAUUUCCAUUAGAAACUGAUGACAGGGUUGCCUGAGAAGCGGAACUAGUGGCUAAAAUACAGGAUGGGAGGGAGACUGUUUACUGUAUACCCCUGCAUCUCUCUUGAAUUUUAUUUCCUUCAAAAAAUAAAAUAUAAACCAUUUUUAAAAUACCCUACUAUUUAUUUUCCUAUCAUCAAGGCUUAAGAACCAAACUAAACUGUCCUAUAUCCCCUUCCUAAAACCCAAUAAGAAAACCACCCAACUAAAAAACUGGGCAAAAGAGCUGAACACAUACCUCACCAAGACAAUAUGCAGGUGCAAAUAAACAUAUAAAAAGAUGCUCAACCUCUUAUGUCACUAUGGGAUUGCAAAGUAAAAUGAGAUACCACCACGCACCUAUGAGAACAGCUAAAAUUCACAAUGCUGACACACCAAACGCUGCCAAGGAUGAGUUGCUAUCGGAGUUCUCAUUCACUGUUGGAGGGAAUGAAAACUGGUGCAGCCACCUUGGAAGACAGUUUGGCGGCUUCUAACAAAACUAAACAUAGUCUUACCAUAUGAUCCAGCAAUCGUGUUACUUGGUAUUUACCCAAAUGAGUUGAAAUCUUAUGUACACACAAAAGCCUACAUAUGGAUGUUUAUAGCAGCUUUAUUCCCUUCCUACAAACUUCAGAGAUUAUUCUCUAAUCUGCCAAAUUCAGGGGGGGAAAUGUAUUCCUAUUACAUUAGAGCAAUUUUUUUGCAAAGCCCCUGAACUUUAGGCCUGCCUCUACUUUACUGCUGAGAUAUACGAUUCUACUCUAUAAUACAGGUCCCACCAAUUGAACGUGAACACUUCCACAUAAUUUAGGGGAAACUCUCAAAACAAUGCAAUGUUUUAAAUUAUAAAAUGAAAAGGAUGUAACGCAGAGGAAAAAUCUCCAAAGGAUGCCCAUAGGACAUAUUAACUAAUAGGCAGGGUCAUUGCCUCAAAAUGUCCUGUGGAUGGAAGUGGCUUUCUCCUGCUUCUUCCUCCACACACUGCACACGUAGUGAGAAGAAUGUAAAGCCUUCCACUCCACAGCGGACUCAGUCUCCUUUCCUGCCCAGCAGAAGCCUCAUGCACCCAGGCAGAGGGGGAAACACUCUGGUUCUGCUUCCUUCUCUGAUAUCAGAGUACAGCAGAUGAGAUCACAAUCCUUAGCCAUUUCCCCCUUGGUAUCUACAUGCUACUUAUCAGAGUUCUUCCUUGCAGUUCCUUGAGAAGUAGCUAGCCAAAGCAGGAUAUGGGUAACCUGGCCAUAUCCAAUCCCACUAUUUCUGAUAGCUUUACCACAAAGCACACAGAGAAGAAUGAAAUUCUGUCAUUACUUCUUUCAAUAGCAAAUAAUGAUACACAACCCAGUUUUGUCAAAUUUUGGGAGAAACAUGUCUUUUGAUUGGAUAGUGAUAAAAGAUUACUUUCAUUCUAUUAUGUGCUUUUCUUCCCCUUCCAGUAACUACAUUUGCCUUGUGAGCAAUCAUUCACUCACUAGCCUAAAUUACGAGCAAUAAUCUACUAAAGGGAGUACAGGAAAGUGUAUGAAUUCUGAAGAUGACUUUCCAAGAAUGGCCACCUUUGGUACUGAGAAUUCAGUCACUAGUGACAAGAAGAUACACCCCGAGCCAGCCUUGACAGCCUAGUGGUUAAAGUUUAGCACUCUCACCGCUUCAGUGGCCUGGGUUGGGUUCCUGGUUGCAGAACCACACAGAUCAUCUGUCACUAGCCAUGGUGUGGCAGCAGCUCACACAGAAGGACUUACAACUAGAAUAUACAACUACAUACUGGGACUUUGCGGAGGGGAAAAACAAAAGGCAACCCCUUCAAGCUUAUCUACCACAUAACAUUUUAAUGCUUUUGCUUUCAUUCUUUUCCCAGAGAUGUGCAAAUGAAACUCAUUAGCUUUAAAAUAAAGUAAUUGAAAAUAAAUUAAUUCCUCACCAACCCCAAUCCCAAUAGACUCUACAGAUUUUUUGCACAGCAAAUUAGAUAACUACUGCUAGAGAGAAAUAAUCACACUUCUAAUAGAUCAUACAGCUACAGACACUAGUUCUCAUAGCUUGGGACACUCAACCAUAUGUGAAAACACAUUUCCAUCAAAGUAGAAAUACUGAAGAUGUCAAGCUGGUUGACUAAGUCAUGUUCUUAUAGGAUGAUAAAAACCAACACAACUGAAAAUUAACCAUUUCUUUUUACAAUUAUAUACCAGGACUUGAUGUAAUAAAAAUAUAUUUGGUUGAUUCACACACUCCAAAAUAAAUACUCUUAGGUAACCUUCAGCCUGAAACAAGCCUUCAUUUAUUGACUACUUACAGUACAGUGAUUUUGUAUCUGAGCUGGUAAUCAAAGAUGGUUAUGUAUUAAGUGAGAGAAGACAUCAUCUCUCUUCCAGAUAUCACCUCUCAGAAAUCUGGGCUAAUUCAAUUUUAAGAACCAGAACUGCAUCUCCUGGUAACUACGUGGCAGUCAUCACCUGAGAACAGGAACAAGGCAAAUAAAGUAUACAGGAUUCUGAUUCUCCUACACAGGUGCACGUAAAGUUAGUUUAUUAAUGACUACAUUUUGAAGCCAGCCAUUUUGAUCCAAUAUUUAAAUAACAAGCUGUUUAAUAUUAAAGCAGAAGGUACUGCCACAAUGUGACAUUAAUACAGCUUUAUCCAUAAACCCUUCACACAAUUAUACAUUAAAUGCUAUUUUUAUUUAAGCAAGGCACCCCCUACUUCUUCUAAAAUAUGGGAUGUGCUACCCCACUGAAAAAGCAAAUGAGGAGACUUAAAUUUUUUCCUAUCUAGAGCUGGUUUAAAUUCAAGUGAAGCCAUUAAUGUCCUUACCAGUCGGGACUGUUCUGAUAUGUCAAUUCACAGUUUUGAGACUAACAAACCAAUACCCUUAAGGGUUACCCAAAACCACAAAAAAAGGGGGUGUCCAGAUAACUUUUAAGUUGAGACUAGAAUUCCCUCCUUAAGUACACAGGAACCAAUGUUAAUGCCUUUAGCACAAGGCUUGGAAAGGCAAAACAUUCCUAAAGACAUAAAACUGCCAAAUUGUUGUCAUUUACACUCACUACCCUGUGGGGUUUAUUUCUUGUUUUGACUUAUUUUUAACUCUUACCCCUAUCUAAGUAAUCAAAUAGACCUAAAAUUAAAACUACUCUGCCAAACCGUAAUGGUUCAAAGGUCUGAAACCUUUCCUUGCUUUGGUGAGUAUUUGGUUAAAAUAACUCAAUGUUUUAAUCCAUGAGAAGUUUUACAUCAGAGCUCUGAAUUCAUAGGUAAAAAACAAAACCUCAACCAGAUCAUUUUUAAAAUGGGAGAAAGAUUUUAAAGGACAGUACUGAAUAAAAACAUGUAGUCUUUACAAUGGGUAACAUGUCCUCUGUGAAAUCAAACUGUUUAAUCAUAUAAAAUAAAGACCAGAUUUGUAAAUCAGAUCCUAGACAGUUUAAACAAAAAUUUAAAUUUGUGGUUUUAUUUCAUAAUCCCAAACUGAAUCUUUCCUUUCUCUUUCUAAACAGUCCACUAUGGAAUUUUUCUUAUAAGUAAUUAAGCCCAAACCCCAAAAUCCUUUCUCUAGCAGCUGCUGCUAAAAAACUGGAGCUUUAUAUCCCAUGUCCAAGAAAGAUGUGCAAAUGAAAUGCUUCUUGCUUCAUCCUGAAAAUAAAACGAAAAAUGUUGUACAUUUACUCAAAAGAAAAAGUACUGCACAUGUUCUCAUACCAUUUAAAAUUACAAAUUCAACCACUUUUUCUUACUGAUUUAGUACAAGUUAUGUGACAGAUCAAUUAAGUUAAGGUGAAGAAAAUUCAACAGUUAGGCAUUAGUGUUUGCGGCCUGAUAUAAAGAUAGUAGAUUUUCAGAACUGAGCACACAAUAUAUUUUACAUAAGAUUUUAGCUAAUAUAAAUAUUUAACAUGACAAUAUUGUGAGACUUCAUAUCCAAAAAUAGCCUAUGGGGCU